UUCUCUUUCAUUUGCUAUUCCUUCUUUCCGUCUACUUAGUGCGAAAUCUCAGAUCUAUUAUCUAUGAUUCCUGAUUCGAGUUUUGUUUCUAUAGAUCCGGUCGAAUGGUGUAACGAUCUACGAUUUGGUAUCAGAUUUUCGAUGAUAUGAUUAACGCCGUCUGAUGCAUAUCUAAAAAGGUCUUCGACGGAAAGAUCCGGAAGCUUUGCAGGAAGUUGUCAUCUGUAUGUUGAUAUCUUUGUUCAUAUCGAUGGUGAUCCGUUUGAUCUCGCUCGUGGUUUCUUUUAUCGAUCUUGAGAUGCGUUGCAGGAAUAAAUCAACCAUCUGUGAUGUUAUAUGACAGAGAUCUUGGAUUGGAAGCUGGUUUGUGAUUGAAAGGAUGUGUAAGAUAUCAAGGGAAAUGGUCCUGAUCUAUCUUUGUCAUCCGAGGCCUUUGCCAUGACAGGUGCGCUUGCAUGGCAGGUCACCCGAACUUAAUAAAAAAAUCUAUUAUUUGGUGUUUCGGAGGGGAGUUCGCACGGGGUUGCCCGGGUUCUCUCCUCUGCUGUGGUGUCUCGUCUCUCUUUACUCUCUCACCCUUUACGCUUUCCUAUUAUUUACUCAAUUAGCAUACGCUGCGUAAUACUGGAUCGACGAAUGGUCCCCAAUCGUCAUUAUCAUCAUCAUCAACUUGGAUUUAGCUCAUGUUCUCCAAGCUAUUAACCGUCAACUACUUACAAAUCUCAAAGCAAAGCCUUUGUUAAAUUUCAGAUGACCCCAAUUUGGCCCAAGUAUUGAAGUUUUCCACCAUUUAGACUCCAUCUCCUGAAACAGCCCGUAAUUUUUCAGUUGUUUUAAAUUUUCUUGUUUCUACCAUGGUUAAUUUACAUGGACAUUAUAUUGUCAGUAUUGUUUCAUCGAACUUUGUACCUUUAGUUAAGUUUAGUAUGUAGUUGCUUUGUAUCAUAUGUGCAAUACUUGUAUUGCUUUUUGUAGUUGCACGGUCCCUUGUUUGGGUCUCUGUUUAACGUUGGGUUGAAGGUUGAAGAUCAUUUACUGGCCAUUGAAUUUAUCGACGAAAGAUGUAUCAACGGAGAGUUGUUUUGGAAACUGCCUCAUCUUUAACUAACAUCGGAAAGUAAGCACUGUCAUCUGAGGAGAUUCUGACGCGCAGCUGGUCUACUGUUUGAGAGAUUUCCUCCAUAUUCUAGUUCUUGAAGCAUUGAAGCCUACAGCGUAAGUUGAACCCAUCUGGUUUUGCUUGGUGCACUGCUCGAUUUAGUUUUGAAGAUUGAUGAUUCUGGUGUUACAUAUGUUGAUGUGUAACGGGCCCCUUUUGCAUAGUGAAAUAUUCAGUGUACUUCGGUACCGUGGUUUUUCCCCUUUCAUGGGGUUUCCACGUUAAUUUUUCCUGUCGCAUUUAUUGUUUAUUUGCAUUCAUCUACGAUCAAAUCAAAGACUAUGCCUGCAGGUAUGAUAGAAACACGUUUCCAGUAUUCCCUUGUAUGGAAGUUUCAGCUGGUAUAUUCUUUGAUGAUAUUGAUUCUUUUAAAGUUACAUCUGGUAUCUUCUAAUUUGGAAGAAAUGUCGAAUUUGAAAUACGUGGGGAUUCUGCAACAACUGAAUUUUUUAUGAUCGACUUACCGUAAUCAGAUUAACGAGUUGAUUUCUUCCUUCAGUUGGGAAGUUGUAUCUGAACCUGAGUUCUAGUUUCUGAAGGUCCAAGGAAGUAAAGCUGAAUCAAUAAUCGUGUUACCGGUUGUGUUAUAGCUGGAAUGUUGGAAGUGAGUUUUGGAAUGGUAGAUUGGCCUAGCUAGUGACUAUUUAAGAAAGAUCUGUAAGCUCAAAAUGGUAGAGUGCUCGAUCCCCCGAGGUUGGGAGGAUGACGGCUCGAAUCCGUCCAGAUCUCGUCGUAUUUACCUUUGUACGACCUUGUAAAAUAAUAUUUAAAAACAUAAAAAUGAGGAAGAGUCUCAAAAUUUUGAAAAUUUAUAUUCUAA